rnacentral:lncRNA from 10 species
AGUCCCAGGCUGUGUGGAGCUGGGAAGGCACAGCUGCUUGAAGAAACCAGGCACUGCAAGAGCUUUGUGACCCCUUGCCAAAUACCAGAAGAAGAUAAGACCUGCCUGGAACUGGUGCAAACUGGAACAAGUGACCCCUAGUUACCUUUAGAUCAUGAACAUAUAAUUAUAAUGCUGAAAUCUCCUCCUCUAAAAGAAAAUCUCUACCAUUUUGUAAACAUGCGGUAUAUGGAGAAUUAUGUUUGGGACUGCACCUGUGUGUCUGGAACUCCACCCUGCAUGCCUACAUCUCUCCUGGCCCGCAUUUAACUCUAAGAUUCCCCUGCCUCCCAACACUCUGGGGGCGGGGAAUAUGCCUUUAGAGCAAGAGCUACCCCUUCUCCAUUCUCUGGCCAUUGAAUAAAACCUGAUUGCUUUUUCUUUCUUUCUUUUUUUUUUUUUUUCCAAUUGGAUGUUCUUUCUUUGCAACCUAUACAAAGUAGGGGAAAAAAAACUCAGUUUACCAGUGACAAAGGAAUGUGUUUAUUUUUUAAUCUUUUCUUGGGAUUUUAAUGACUCUUUUACUUCAGUUUUCAUUUCUUCAAUUUACCUGGUAUCAAAAGGCAGUAUUAUAUUAUUAAAAGGCACCGGAAAUGGCACUAGGCAGAGAUAAGUUAGAAUUCUGUGUUCCCCACUUAUGAGCUGUGUAAUAUUGCUCAGGCUAUUCCAUGUUUCUCAGCCUGAGUACAGUCAUUUGUAAAGCAGUCAUUGUAGUCAAAGUGAUUGGAAAGUAAUAAUACUUACUAUUUGGGGUUGUGAUGUGGAUUAAAGAUAAUGUAUAUAACUUGCCUGACUCUCUGAUUCUGUUUGCUUUGAUACAUUCUUUCCUUUGACAUAUUCUUUCCCACUACUCCUGAGAAUGUCAAAUUUAGAACCAGCACUUCCUGCAGAAUUUUAUUAAUAUGUCUUCACCAAGAGCAGGCAACAUGUAUUUGGUGGCUGGUGCAUGAAACGUGAAAAACUCUCUUUCCUAAAGCAGACAUGUUCAUAAUCUAGUGGGCAUCUGUCAGACGGCUACAGUGUUUGAAAGUGGGAGGAGUUUGGACUUUGGCUCCAAACUUUCUUGGUGCUUCUGCUCAGUUUCCCAUGGGACAAUUUUACUUCCACCAUUUUGGACUCUGAAGCUUGCAAAGAAGCAUCUGGCUGCCAUAUUGUUUUGCCUCUCAUUUCCAAAUUGAGUCUCUCAUGCAACUAAACUCAAUCGUAUUCCAUCAGAGGCAGCAGAGAUUAUUCGAAUCUGCUUGAAGUUUCUGUUGUUUUCUUUUUUACACUCUGAUAUCUUUUUGCCUCCCUCUUCUGUGGAAGUGAUUUUUUCCUGCCCUCUGAGAAGGCUUUCUAGCUCCAAUCAGCUUGUGUUCUGUGUUCCCCAGGAUGCCUCAGAGUUUCAUCCAGAGUUCCUGAUAUGCCACUGAUUUUCUGGAAUUGCCUUUUUUGGUUUUCUUUUUCCCUUCACUCUCUCAUAAUAUAUCCCCUUAGGGUGGUCCCAUGAGAAAGAGUUCUGUCAGGUAUAAGUACCAGGAAUAGCUGAGCUUGCCCUGAAUAUCUGGCUAAAUUUUUAUCUUAUGGGUAUUUCUGGAUUAUAUAGCACUCUUUCAUUGGCUGCCUGGAAGCUCAGAAAGCAUAUUGGACUUUCCCCCAGCAAGUGCACAGAACCCCACAGUAUGCACUAUGUAUAAUGUUAUCCUUGACUUUAUCUUAUUUUUCCCAUAUCGAUUUUCUCACAUUUAUUUUUUAAACUUACUUUCUAUGCAUUUUUUGUUAUACUGCAGCAAGUCUUUGUUAGAAUGUGAUGAUAUAUAUAAGCAUCCAAACUAAGAGACUAGCGCCAUAAAAUCAUUUGCCUGCAGAAGCAAGACAGGCCAGAAAUAAAUGUAGUUCCACAGUGGCUGAGAUAACCUGCAAAGGAGAGAGCAUCAUGCUGGAGAUUUGAGAUGAAUCAGGUCAUCUCUGGGAUGUCACGAAAGUCCAUGAUUGAAGUCAGUAAGACAUUUGUGAUUUCCUGCAACCCUGUGUGUUCCUUCUGGACCCUGAAUUCUAAAUGGGAUGAGUCACAGGACUGACUUCACAUGGCAAUAGCUCUGAUGGAUUUGAGCAGUUGCUUUUCUGGAUCGCACAAUGAUUCAUGAACCUUGGAGAGAGACAUAUAGACCAGUUUCAAGUCUCAGCUCUGUGGUUUAGCACAAUAUUCUGAACCUAAUUGAGAAUUGUAGCCAUGACAUUUGUUGCUUGUCAAAUAUCCAUGUGCUCAUGUACGUGUCACAGUCUACUUCCUUGCAUUGAGGUAGGGAUUGGUUCUUUUGUACUGAAGAAUAGAACAGGUGUGAGGAAACUGUGCUUGACUUUUGCUGCCUGGGUGAUAAGGAAGCUAGGGUCCCAGACGGUGAAUCUACAAGAGGGUGAAGCCUCCAUCUAUCUGGGUCCUUGAGUGAGUGACAGUGCAAAGCCCUCACCAACCCAUGUUGGACAUUACAUGAAC